rnacentral:rRNA from 1 species
AGCGAACGCUGGCGGCAGGCUUAACACAUGCAAGUCGAGCGGGCACUUCGGUGUCAGCGGCAGACGGGUGAGUAACACGUGGGAACGUACCCUUUGGUUCGGAAUAACGCUGGGAAACUAGCGCUAAUACCGGAUACUCCCUUUUGGGGAAAGGCUUUCUGCCGAAGGAUCGGCCCGCGUCUGAUUAGCUAGUUGGUUGGGUAAUGGCCUACCAAGGCGACGAUCAGUAGCUGGUCUGAGAGGAUGAUCAGCCACACUGGGACUGAGACACGGCCCAGACUCCUACGGGAGGCAGCAGGGGGGAAUAUUGGAAAAUGGGCGCAAGCAUGAUCCAGCCAUGCCGCGUGAGUGAUGAAGGCCUUAGGGUUGUAAAGCUCUUUUGUCCGGGACGAUAAUGACGGUACCGGAAGAAUAAGCCCCGGCUAACUUCGUG